ensembl:lncRNA
CCCAGCUCCCCUGUCUGAUCUGUUAGCUAGCGAGCUGGGUCCCUGUUACCACGUUUACAAAGCGCUUGGCACACACAGGGAGAAGUUCCCUGGGGAGGUCUCAGUCCUUGCUGGCAGAGAGGCUGGCUCCUCCUGGCCUGCUGAGAGACCCUCUCUCUGGAAGAACAAAGCCUGUUCCUCCACGGCCACGCCCACAGGCGGAUUCUUUACCAGCUGAGUCACCAGGAAUCCCUAAAGAGGAUAUUGCUCCAUCACUAAUAAAACCUGAACAGCAGUUCUCAACUUUCCGUCUGCCUAAGAAUCAACUGGAAAUCUGUUAAAAUGCAGACUCCUGGGCCCCAGCUGCAGAUCUAGCAGGAUCUCUGAGAUUGCAGAGAGCAAGGGCUACUCUUCAUUGCUUGCACAGUCCUCCCAUCGUGGUGGCCUCUGUCCUUGAGGAACACAGGCUACAGGCUCCCAAGCCCUCAAGUGCCGGCUCAGUAGUUGUGGAGCACCGGGGCUUAGUUGCUUCAUGACAUGUGGAAUCUUCCCCCACCAGGGAUGGAACGUGCGUCCCCUGCACUGGCAGGCGGAUGCCUAGACACUGUGCCACCAGGGAAGUCCCAGAACAAUGUUUAAUAA